rnacentral:rRNA from 1 species
GACGAACGCUGGCGGCGUGCUUAACACAUGCAAGUCGAACGGAAAGGCCCUGCUUUUGUGGGGUGCUCGAGUGGCGAACGGGUGAGUAACACGUGAGUAACCUGCCCUUGACUUUGGGAUAACUUCAGGAAACUGGGGCUAAUACCGGAUAGGAGCUCCUGCUGCAUGGUGGGGGUUGGAAAGUUUCGGCGGUUGGGGAUGGACUCGCGGCUUAUCAGCUUGUUGGUGGGGUAGUGGCUUACCAAGGCUUUGACGGGUAGCCGGCCUGAGAGGGUGACCGGCCCCAUGGGGACGGGGAUACGGCCCAGACCCCUUCGGGGGGCAGGGGUGGGGAAUUUUGCAAAAUGGGCGGAAGCCGGAUGCAGCAACGCCGCGGGCGGGAUGACGGCCUUCGGGUUGUAAACCGCUUUCGCCUGUGACGAAGCGUGGGUGACGGUAAUGGGUAAAGAAGCACCGGCUAACUCCGG